CUUUCAAAGGACAACAGACUAUCCAUUAAUCUUAGGAGUAACCCCUCU
rnacentral:tRNA from 1 species